AUUGAACGCUGGCGGCAGGCCUUACACAUGCAAGUCGAACGAGUGGCGGACGGGUGAGUAAUGUAUGGGAACCUGCCUGAUGGAGGGGGAUAACUACUGGAAACGGUAGCUAAUACCGCAUACCAUCGGAUGUGCCCAUAUGGGAUUAGCUAGUAGGUGGGGUAAAGGCUCACCAAGGCGACGAUCCCUAGCUGGUCUGAGAGGAUGACCAGCCACACUGGAACUGAGACACGGCCCAGACUCCUACGGGAGGCAGCAGUGGGGAAUAUUGGACAAUGGGCGAAAGCCUGAUGCAGCCAUGCCGCGUGUAUGAAGAAGGCCUUCGGGUUGUAAAGUACUUUCAGCGGGGAGGCGUUACCCGCAGAAGAAGCACCGGCUAACUCCGUGCCAGCAGCCGCGGUAAUAC
rnacentral:rRNA from 1 species